GACGAACGCUGGCGGCGUGCGGAACACACGCAAGUCGAACGGAAAGGCCCUGCUUUUGUGGGGUGCUCGAGUGGCGAACGGGUGAGUAACACGUGAGUAACCUGCACUUGACUUUGGGAUAACUUCAGGAAACUGGGGCUAAUACCGGAUAGGAGCUCCUGCUGCAUGGUGGGGGUGGGAAAGUUUCGGCGGUUGGGGAUGGACUCGCGGCUUAUCAGCUUGUGGGUGGGGUAGUGGCUUACCAAGGCUUUGACGGGUAGCCGGCCUGAGAGGGUGACCGGCCCCAUUGGGCCUGAGAUACGGCCCAGACUCCUACGGGAGGCAGCAGUGGGGAAUAUUGCACAAUGGGCGGAAGCCUGAUGCAGCAACGCCGCGUGCGGGAUGACGUCCUUCGGUUUGUAAACCGCUUUCGCCUUUGACGAAGCGUGAGUGACGGUAAUGGGUAAAGAAGCACCGGCUCCCUACGUU
rnacentral:rRNA from 1 species